rnacentral:rRNA from 1 species
UACGUAGGGUGCGAGCGUUAAUCGGAAUUACUGGGCGUAAAGCGUGCGCAGGCGGUUCUGGAAGGCAGAUGUGAAAUCCCCGGGCUCAACCUGGGAACUGCGUUUGAAACUACAGGACUUGAGUAUGGCAGAGGGGGGUAGAAUUCCACGUGUAGCAGUGAAAUGCGUAGAGAUGUGGAGGAAUACCAAUGGCGAAGGCAGCCCCCUGGGUCAAUACUGACGCUCAUGCACGAAAGCGUGGGGAGCAAACAGG